UCUGGAUAUCAAGCAAAUCAAAUUACGCGAAGGCCCACCAGACACGCGCAUUAACCAUCGGGUAGCCCAGCUACACACCUUUGGGGGCGGGGGCGGGGCGCGAACCUGGCCAGCGGCUUCCCCGGCGGCGCAGGAUGGACCCGGCUGGGAGGCAGGCCCGGGAGCCGGAGGGGGCGUGGCCACUGUGUCCCCCAUCCCCCCACUUCCACACCGCCCCCCGAGGCCAGGAGCGAGAAGGACCCCGAAGAGCCCAAGCAGAUUUUGGCAGGUGACGUGGGGCGAGGAGUCCAUGAUGCUGAGAAGACAAGAAGGCAACCAACUGUGGACAAGAAAGGGUCCAGCCAAGGUCACAAGCCUUCCCCAGAACGGGAUCGUGCACAGAGGUAAGACACUCAGGAAGAGAGGAGUCAAGCUGCACACUUGGCAGCUAAGCCUCCAGCUCUGAGGCAGUGGAGACUCCAAAUGCUCGUCAAAAAGCCUUGAUGUAAUUUUUUUUUUUUUCAUUCCACACAUUAAAAUGAAAAUGACAGCAUUCACGCUAUCCCCACACAUGCCGGUGAAUAACUCACUUCAUGAUGGAUAUGGGUCCCUGUGACUCUGGUAUAGACAACAAAGCAAACCAGAGAUCAGAAGUGAAUUGGGGUUUAUGGCUAAUAUGGGAUACUCAUUUUAAAAUGGCAAAAUGGGGGAGGUCCUGUUGUGGUGCAUUGGAAACAAAUCCAACAAGGAUCCAUGAGGACUCAGGUUCGAUCCCUGGCCUCACUCAGUGGGUUCAGGAUCCAGCAUUGCCAUGACCUGUGGUGCAGGCGGCAGACAAAGCUUGGAUCCUUUGUAGCUGUGGCUGUGGUGUAGGCCGGCAGCUACAGCUCCAAUUCGACCCCUAGCCUGGGAACUUCCAUAUGCUGUGGGGGCAGCCCUAAAAACAAACAAACAAAACCCUGCAAAAUAAACUAACCUUAGCCAUUUUAGCUCUGUAUACACGUGCAUGAAUCUUCCUAAGGCACUAAAAUUAAUGUUUAAACUGCAUAUAUGUUGAGAAACACAAAGACAUUUGUUCUCACUGAUCUAUUCUGUCUCAGGGAAACGGUCAUAAGGCUCGAGCUGGCAAGCUGACCAUCGCUCGGUUAGACACCGCUGCCGGCGAGAAAGGUGAACCAGCCAGCCUCCAUCCAGCCACUCGUGGCGUUUUUUUGAAAUCCGUAUUAUAACAUGGGAAAUGCCUACAAUGUAGCACUAACUGAAAAGGGGACCAAACAGCAAACAUCAAUCUGGUUACAACUCUAUUAUUAAAAUAAGCACAUGGACGUUCUCUCGUGGUGCAGCAGGUUAGGGAUCCCGUGUUGUCUCUGCUUGGGUUGCUGCUAUGGUACAGGUUGAUGCCUGGCCCGGGGAACUUCUGCAUGCUGUAUAUACAUAAUAUAUAAUAAGCACACAUAAAAAAUACUGGAAGGAACUAUGCCAAAUGUCAAUAGUGAUUUUGUUUGGGUGGUAGAACUACUAAAAUAUUUUUCUUCUUUUUACCUUCUGCCUUUUUUAAAUGCCAGUAUUAUUUACUGACAGCAAAGUGCACAGGUUUUAAGGGUACGGUGAGUUCUGACAGGAGUUCCCGCCGUGGCACAAUGGGUUAAGAAUCCAAAUGCAGCAGCUUGGGUCACUGCAGAGACUCAGGUUCGACCCCUGGCCCAGUGCAGUGGGCUUAAAGGAUCUGGCGUUGCCACAACUGUGGUGUAGGUCACAGCUGCAGCUCAGAUUCCAUCCCUGAGCCGGACACUUCCAUAAGCUGUGGGUGCAGCCGUGAAAAAAAAAAGUUCUGACAAAUAGGUAUACCAACACCGAUAUCCCCAAAAGUCCCCUUGUGUGCUUAUCAAUCUCCCUCUCUGGCCAGUGGCUACUAUUCUGAUUUCUCUCUCCUCAGAGGGAGGAAUUAAAGAUACCUCCUGCCCAUUUUAGAGAUAGACGCGACAGGUUUUUGGAUUGGCCUCUGACCUGCUUUCGUGCUGCCUUGAGACUUUUUUUGAAGCGGGGAAGGAGCUAUUGAGGAAGAAGCCAGAAGCCCCCAGCAGGAGUGAGCACCGGGGCACCAGCAUCCCGCAGGAGACGUGUAUGAGCAAAAAUGGGGCCGAGAGAGGAGGCGGUGGCGGGGGACGAGCUGAAAAAGAGCUUACAAAUUGUGAAGAGAAAUCAUGGCAUUUAUUUCUAAAUGACAAGUCUUUAUCUUCCUCGCCCAGGCCUAUUUGUUGACAAGCCAUUCUGUCACAAUGUGUUGGUCAGACCCAGGGAGGCCCGGCGUUCUGGCGGGGCAUCAGGCCUUGAUCUUGUCUCCGGUGGAAUUCAGGAGGCUCCCCUGUAAGCAAUCAGCCUCCUAAUGGGCAGGAGGCACCUCUGGGAAUGGGAAUUUGACAAGGCUUGUCAAAGCUGUCAGGCAGCGGCAGAGUCUUUCUCAUUCUCCUGUUCCCACCCCGGGAGGGGAACAGCUCCGUGGGCUCUGCCAGUCCUUGCAGGACAAGAGCUGAAACCACAAUGAAACGCUGCUCCGACAUGAGCGGGGCAGACGCAUAAAUCCGUCACAUUAAAAAACAUCUGGAUGAACAAAACAGGAGCAGGCCAAGUGCACAGUGUACCUCGGGGCUGUGGGAACAGCCUAUGGGGAGCCCAGCUGAGUGAAGGACACCCCUUCCCCCCCC
rnacentral:lncRNA from 9 species